UGGGGAAUAUUGGACAAUGGGCGCAAGCCUGAUCCAGCCAUACCGCGUGUGUGAAGAAGGCUUUCGGGUUGUAAAGCACUUUAAGUGAGGAAGAAAAGAUAAUAGUUAAUACCUGUUAUCCGUGACAUUACUCACAGAAUAAGGACCGGCUAAUUCCGUGCCAGCAGCCGCGGUAAUACGGAAGGUCCAAGCGUUAAUCGGAAUUACUGGGCGUAAAGCGCGCGUAGGUGGUUUAUCAAGUUGGUUGUGAAAGCCCCGGGCUUAACCUGGGAACUGCAGCCAAAACUGAUUCACUAGAGUACGAAAGAGGAAAGUAGAAUUCACAGUGUAGCGGUGGAAUGCGUAGAUAUUGUGAAGAAUACCAAUUGCGAAGGCAGCUUUCUGGUUCUGUACUGACACUAAGGUGCGAAAGCGUGGGGAGCGAACAGG
rnacentral:rRNA from 1 species